rnacentral:rRNA from 1 species
GAAGGCCUUCGGGUUGUAAAGUACUUUCGGUGAUGAGGAAGGUGUUGUAUCUAAUAGGUGCAACAAUUGACGUUAAUUACAGAAGAAGCACCGGCUAACUCCGUGCCAGCAGCCGCGGUAAUACGGAGGGUGCGAGCGUUAAUCGGAAUGACUGGGCGUAAAGGGCAUGUAGGCGGAUAAUUAAGUUAGGUGUGAAAGCCCUGGGCUCAACCUAGGAAUUGCACUUAAAACUGGUUAACUAGAGUAUUGUAGAGGAAGGUAGAAUUCCACGUGUAGCGGUGAAAUGCGUAGAGAUGUGGAGGAAUACCGGUGGCGAAGGCGGCCUUCUGGACAGAUACUGACGCUGAGAUGCGAAAGCGUGGGGAGCAAACAGGAUUAGAUACCCUGGUAGUCCACGCUGUAAACGAUGUCGAUUUGGAGUUUGUUGCCUAGAGUGAUGGGCUCCGAAGCUAACGCGAUAAAUCGACCGCCUGGGGAGUACGGCCGCAAGGUUAAAACUCAAAUGAAUUGACGGGGGCCCGCACAAGCGGUGGAGCAUGUGGUUUAAUUCGAUGCAACGCGAAGAACCUUACCUGGUCUUGACAUCCACAGAAUCCUGUAGAGAUAUGGGAGUGCCUUCGGGAACUGUGAGACAGGUGCUGCAUGGCUGUCGUCAGCUCGUGUUGUGAAAUGUUGGGUUAAGUCCCGCAACGAGCGCAACCCUUAUCCUUUGUUGCCAUCGGUUAGGCCGGGAACUCAAAGGAGACUGCCGUUGAUAAAGCGGAGGAAGGUGGGGACGACGUCAAGUCAUCAUGGCCCUUACGACCAGGGCUACACACGUGCUACAAUGGCGUAUACAAAGGGAGGCGACCUCGCGAGAGCAAGCGGACCUCAUAAAGUACGUCUAAGUCCGGAUUGGAGUCUGCAACUCGACUCCAUGAAGUCGGAAUCGCUAGUAAUCGUGAAUCAGAAUGUCACGGUGAAUACGUUCCCGGGCCUUGUACACACCGCCCGUCACACCAUGGGAGUGGGUUGCACCAGAAGUAGAUAGCUUAACCUUCGGGAGGGCGUUUACCACGGUGUGGUUCAUGACUGGGGUGAAGUCGUAACAAGGUAACCGUAGGGGAACCUGCGGUUGGAUCACCUCCUUAC